rnacentral:tRNA from 1 species
AACAGCGUGGCCUAGUGGUUUGAGUGCUGGACUACAGCUUUGGAGACCAGGGUUCGAUUCCCAGCCCAGCCA